AUUACGGGGUGCAGCAGGCGCGAAACCUCCGCAAUACACGAAAGUGUGACGGGGUUACCCAAAGUGUUCAUCAUUGAACUGUGGUAGGUGAGUAAUGUCCCCUACUAGAAAGGAGAGGGCAAGGCUGGUGCCAGCCGCCGCGGUAAAACCAGCUCUUCAAGUGGUCGGGAUAAUUAUUGGGCUUAAAGUGUCCGUAGCCGGUUUGGUAAGUUCCUGGUAAAAUCGGGUAGCUUAACUAUCUAUAUGCUAGGAAUACUGCUAUACUAGAGGGCGGGAGAGGUCUGAGGUACUACAGGGGUAGGGGUGAAAUCUUAUAAUCCUUGUAGGACCACCAGUGGCGAAGGCGUCAGACUGGAACGCGCCUGACGGUGAGGGACGAAAGCCAGGGGAGCGAACCGGAUUAGAUACCCGGGUAGUCCUGGCCGUAAACGAUGCAUACUAGGUGAUGGCACGGCCAUGAGCCGUGUCAGUGCCGUAGGGAAACCGUUAAGUGUGCCGCCUGGGAAGUGCGGUCGCAAGGCUAAAACUUAAAGGAAUUGGCGGGGGAGCACAAU
rnacentral:rRNA from 1 species